rnacentral:rRNA from 1 species
GACGAACGCUGGCGGCGUGCCUAAUACAUGCAAGUAGGACGCACAGUUUAUACCGUAGCUUGCUACACCAUAGACUGUGAGUUGCGAACGGGUGAGUAACGCGUAGGUAACCUGCCUAUUAGAGGGGGAUAACUAUUGGAAACGAUAGCUAAUACCGCAUAACAGUAUGUAACACAUGUUAGAUGCUUGAAAGAUGCAAUUGCAUCGCUAGUAGAUGGACCUGCGUUGUAUUAGCUAGUAGGUAGGGUAAUGGCCUACCUAGGCGACGAUACAUAGCCGACCUGAGAGGGUGAUCGGCCACACUGGGACUGAGACACGGCCCAGACUCCUACGGGAGGCAGCAGUAGGGAAUCUUCGGCAAUGGGGGGAACCCUGACCGAGCAACGCCGCGUGAGUGAAGAAGGUUUUCGGAUCGUAAAGCUCUGUUGUUAAGGAAGAACGAGUGUGAAAAUGGAAAGUUCAUACUGUGACGGUACUUAACCAGAAAGGGACGGCUAACUACGUGCCAGCAGCCGCGGUAAUACGUAGGUCCCGAGCGUUGUCCGGAUUUAUUGGGCGUAAAGCGAGCGCAGGCGGUUAGAAAAGUCUGAAGUGAAAGGCAGUGGCUCAACCAUUGUAGGCUUUGGAAACUGUUUAACUUGAGUGCAGAAGGGGAGAGUGGAAUUCCAUGUGUAGCGGUGAAAUGCGUAGAUAUAUGGAGGAACACCGGUGGCGAAAGCGGCUCUCUGGUCUGUGACUGACGCUGAGGCUCGAAAGCGUGGGGAGCGAACAGG